AUGAACGCUGGCGGCGUGCCUAAUACAUGCCAGUCGAGCGAACAGACGAGGAGCUUGCCCCUCUGACGUUAGCGGCGGACGGGUGAGUAACACGUGGAUAACCUACCUAUAAGACUGGGAUAACUUCGGGAAACCGGAGCUAAUACCGGAUAAUAUAUUGAACCGCAUGGUUCAAUAGUGAAAGACGGUUUUGCUGUCACUUAUAGAUGGAUCCGCGCCGCAUUAGCUAGUUGGUAAGGUAACGGCUUACCAAGGCAACGAUGCGUAGCCGACCUGAGAGGGUGAUCGGCCACACUGGAACUGAGACACGGUCCAGACUCCUACGGGAGGCAGCAGUAGGGAAUCUUCCGCAAUGGGCGAAAGCUUGACGGAGCAACGCCGCGUGAGUGAUGAAGGUCUUCGGAUCGUAAAACUCUGUUAUUAGGGAAGAACAAAUGUGUAAGUAACUAUGCACGUCUUGACGGUACCUAAUCAGAAAGCCACGGCUAACUACGUG
rnacentral:rRNA from 1 species